rnacentral:ncRNA from 1 species
GCCAAAAGCCCAGCGUUCUUUUCCUUCUACUCCCUCCACUGUUCUCAUUUUUGUCAACCAUUUNACUACCAAGCUGGAGUACGGUAGGGGCAGAGGGAAUUUCCGGUGGAGCGGUGAAAUGCGUAGAGAUCGGAAAGAACACCAACGGCUUUUUUUUUUUAUUUUUAUGCUCUGAUUUCAUAGAGACGAAAGCUAGGGGUGCGAAUGAGAUUAGAUACCCCAGUAGUCCUAGCCGUAAACAAUGGAUACUAGGCGUUGUGCGUAUCGACCCGUGCAGUGCUGUAGCUAACGUGUUAAGUAUCCCGC